rnacentral:ncRNA from 2 species
CCUGCGGUGGACGAAAGUCCUAAAUGGGUUGUUGUGCGGCGUGAACAUGCUGCACGAGAACGACUUUACGUUCUCCCCCCUGAGCGAAGUGCAUUGGCACGACGCUCCCUGUGAGCCACGCCCCCGAAAGGGGCGUGGCAGCAGGUUU